ACAGAAACACUUGCCCACGAAUGGAAUGGAAGCCUAUACUGACAAUUGCAGGAAAAGACAAAGUGUCUGAAGCUAGAGAUGCAGGUGGUCUCUACAAAGUGUGAGGACCAUUCUUUCUUACUCAGAAAGCCUGGGGCAACAGUGGCCUCUACCUGGAGAUGGGCUCAAAAAAAAAAAUCUUUCGGUCCCUUCCAGUUGGCUCCAUCACUGAAGCACCUUGGGCGCAGAGUGUGCGGACACCCCCAAGGUCCCCAGAGGACUCUCCAUGGGAUCUUAGGACCUCUGGUGAGUGGAACACAACUUCUUCCAGGAGGCAGGUUCAAACACCAGAUAUCUGGGCACCUUCCCUGCAAGAGGAGAGCUUGCCUGAAGAAAGUACUAUGAACACUGAAACUCAGGAGAGAGCUAGUCUCCCAUGUCUGCUGAUAUAGGCUAAUAUAAUCACCUGAGGAACAAGCUCUAACCAGAGACAACUAUAACAACUAGCUCCAGAGAAUACCAGAUGGCGAAAGGCAAACGUAAGAAUCCUACUAACAGAAAUCAAGACCACUCACCAUCAUCAGAACGCAGCACUCCCACCCCACCUAGUCCUGGGCACCCCAACAUAACCGAAAAGCUAGACCCGGAUUUAAAAGCAUAUCUCAUGAUGAUGGUAGAGGACAUCAAGACAGACUUUAAUAACUCACUUAAAGACAUACAGGAGAACACUGCUAAA
rnacentral:lncRNA from 1 species